rnacentral:tRNA from 1 species
GUUUUUGUAGUUGAAAACAACAGUGGUUUUUCGUAUCACAGGUCUUGGUUUAAACCCGAGUAAAAACA